rnacentral:rRNA from 1 species
AUUGAACGCUGGCGGCAUGCCUUACACAUGCAAGUCGAACGGCAGCGGGCCUUCGGGUGCCGGCGAGUGGCGAACGGGUGAGUAAUGCAUCGGAACGUGCCAUUGAGUGGGGGAUAACGUAGCGAAAGUUGCGCUAAUACCGCAUAUUCUGUGAGCAGGAAAGCAGGGGACCGCAAGGCCUUGCGCUCUUUGAGCGGCCGAUGUCAGAUUAGCUAGUUGGUGAGGUAAAGGCUUACCAAGGCGACGAUCUGUAGCGGGUCUGAGAGGAUGAUCCGCCACACUGGAACUGAGACACGGUCCAGACUCCUACGGGAGGCAGCAGUGGGGAAUUUUGGACAAUGGGGGCAACCCUGAUCCAGCCAUGCCGCGUGAGUGAAGAAGGCCUGGUUGUAAAGCUCUUCGGUCCGGGAACGAAGUACACAUGGGUGAAUACCCUGUGUGGAGUGACGGUACCGGAAC